GGGGAUAUAGCUCAGCAGAGCAUUUGUCUAGCAAUCACAAGGACCUGGGUUCAAACCCAGGGAUCCUG
rnacentral:tRNA from 1 species